GUCGACAGUGAAAAGGAAGUUGAAAAUGGUUAGUGAUUUGGAAAAGAUGACCUUGCGAAUGCUGUUUCAGGCUAAGGUGUUUAGCAUUGCGCUGAAGAGGAAAGCCACACAGCCUCUGGAUUUUCCUGGCUCAUGUACCUGCUUCUGCUCAACAAUGCAUGGAUGAGCCCUAGAACUUGACCAGGCCUCUGUAUGAGAGAGAAGCCAUGAACUAGAAUUCUCCAGUAGCAAGAACUAUCUCUGCAAGACUGAAGAGGAGGCCCCAAAACAACUACUGAUGGCAGCUAUGGCACCUGGCAAGAUGGUUGGCAGUGAACAGCUAGAAGCCCUAGAGAAAUAAAGGUUCAUAGAUUCAGGAUAAUGUCCUCUACCCGUUGUCUGAGAAGUUACGAAGGAGUGGAGUGCAAAACAGUGUGAAUGGA